UGGGGAAUUUUGGACAAUGGACGCAAGUCUGACCCAGCCAUGCCGCGUGCCGGAUGAAGGCCCUCAGGGUUGUAAACGGCUUUUAUUCGGGAAGAAGAGCACGGAUGCGCCUGUGUGUGACGGUACCGAAUGAAUAAGCACCGGCUAACUCCGUGCCAGCAGCCGCGUUAAUACUGAGGGUGCGAGCGUUGUCCGGAUUUAUUGGGUUUAAAGGGUGCGUAGGUGGCUAUUUAAGUCAGUGGUGAAAUACAGCCGCUCAACGGUUGAGGUGCCAUUGAUACUGAAAAGCUUGAAACAAGUAGAGGCGGCCGGAAUGGAUGGUGUAGCGGUGAAAUGCAUAGAUAUCAUCCAGAACACCGAUUGCGAAAGCAGGUGGCUACGUUUGAUUUGACACUGAGGCGCGAAAGCAUGGGGAGCGAA
rnacentral:rRNA from 1 species